GCCAUAUUGAGGGCUGGUCCAAAGCAAUCAGGGCGGAGGCGUAGUGGGUUAUAAAAGCCUCCGACAGCGAGUUUGCAUGGAUGCAGGCUUGAUAAUCUCACUCCACAGGUGUGCAACCGUUUUUCGGGCAUGGAGGAAACAACGUCAUACAAAUGGACUGUGGUAAAAACCAAGGCACUUAAAGAAUGGACAAGGACGACCUGUUCUGCAAAAAACGCAAUGCUGCCAAAGAAGCAUGGGAGUCAAUCAUUAAGGAACUGGACCUUGGGCAACAUGUGUCUCACAAACAGGCCUCCAAGAAAUGGGAGAACCUAAAAAAGAAAUACAAGGAACUUAAAAGGCCAAGGACUGGAACAGGGACUGAUCAGGGGGAAGAAACCCCUGCAACAUGGCCCUUCUUCAUGGCCAUGGAUGAGGCCAUAGGUGCAAGGCCUUCAAUUAGUCCUCCUGUCCUUGUUGCCUCAGCCUUGGCAAACCCCACAAUCCUCUUUGAUCCGGAGGCUGCUUCCUGCUCCUCUUCCUUCCCCCCCCCAAAUGUGGCU